CGGAGGGGGAGGGAAGGGAAGGGGAGGGAGACUAAACACUUCAUCUCCAACUGGGAGCAGCUGCAUCCUUGAUUCAAUAACAGCGUGAACAUGCAAUGACGGACACGACCUGCGGGGACAGGGACUGGGCUCAGUACGCUGACCUCUACUGGACACUGCACGUCAGUCAAGUUGCACUUCAUAAACUGUGGUUUCUGACCGUACACAGUGGGGGUAUUGGAGCUGACAGCAGUGCAGACGGCGGGGGAACGCAUCAAUCUUAUACCUGCGUUUGAUUUAUGCUGCGUCUGCGAGGCUGACCUUUAAAAGACUCAAAAUCAUCUACUACUGGAAACGAUGCAUGGGUGGCCGCCAGAGGAGGGGAGGAUGGUUACUGGGCUGCGCACCAAGGGUUUGAGCACAAACAAUGUCAAUAAUGCACUGCCUAUUCAGCUAAACUGGGAUCAAUAGGAGUGAUUCAGCAGAGCCCUGACGGAGCGGCCCCGUGUCAACAGCCUGGGACCAGAUGAAAGAUGAGACCCUUUGAACAACGCAACAACGGGAGAAACGGCAGGAAUCGAUGGAGAAGAGCUGAUGGCGAGAGCGGAGGAGAGACGGUGUAGGAGGCAGACGGCGUCUGUCCACUGUUGCUACAGAUGUUAUUAGUGUCUCACUUGGUCUGCUUUCCAACAACAGCAAAAACCACGGGCCAAAACACCGCCUGCCAAGCUGUUUAUAUGUGGACCGCUGCAGCGGCGACAAUGUAUAAAUAUAUAUACACACAUAUGUAUGUUUAAAUAUAUAUAAACACAUGUAUGUAUAAAUAUAUAAAUAUAUAUAUAAAUACAUAUUCAUGUUUAUAUAUAUAAAUAAAUAUAUAUAUAUUCCUAUCAAAUAUCUUUCAUCACUAUGGCCUUUUGACCUCACAGCCGGGUGAGCAAAUAAACCAAUCCUGGUUGGAGGUGCCAAACAGGAUUGGCCAUAAAUGUUCACAGCGAGGAUAAGACUUGAGCCUAUUUAUUUAACAAAGACUGAAGAUACAAAGCAAUAAUGCGGCCACCGUGAACAGCGUGUCUGCUGUAAGUACCAAUAGUCCGGCAGCUGAAGGCAGUGUGGAAACAGAAGGUUCAAAAAAUAAGCUUUGUUUUUUUUUGUUUUUUUUUUCUUUCUCAGUAAGCACUAUAACUCUUGUGGUAAAGACUGCUACAGAAAGGUAAAAGUCCAGCUCAAGGAUACACUCGCUCCGGCAUAUUUCCACGUCAACAAUGUUCACAACAUUUUUCACUACCUCCCAAAUGAGAGACUUUAUUUGUGUUAUCUGGAUUGCAGUACUUAAAUAAGCCCAAGGGCACGAGCCACAUCCUUACUUUGAUUUGUGCCACAUGACAUUGCACAAAUUCAAUUUUCCUCUCCCUGUUUACUUUUAAUGCCUUUGUAAGUUGCUCUCAAAAUAAAAAAAACAGGCUCCAUAUAAAGUGCUGGCUUUUCUGAAACACCAAAAAGAAACAUAUUAAGUCACUGAAACGCAACUAAAACUGAGUCACGGCCAGGAGUGAAGUAAACUAAAAAUGUUUUGCUUCUGACCGCAGCAGACCACGCAGAGGAAACGCCGUCCUGAAGCAUCACUGAUAUUUGGUCCUUAACUCUCUCGACUCCAACUGGUCCAGGCGACAACAUUCACGCCCUCCGUGUCGGGUCCCUCAAACCGAUGAUUGUUUAUGGACCAUUACAGGUCAUUAAAAUAUAUAUUAGGGUCCAUAAAAACAUCCAAAGCCACACAUUUAGAUUGAUGACCACUGCUUUUCCCCGAUGACCGCGUGAUGGACAUGUGAACCAACAGGCCGUUCUGUGUGAUACUGCCCUUUAUUGGCUGGGUGUGUAUGGGUGUGUGUAUGUGUGUGUGUGCCUCAUGGUUAUUGAUUGACUCAGUGUAAUGUAAACACAAUUAAGAGACAUUAGGGUUUUAAAAUGUUCCAGCACACACUGUAGGACGUGGCUGUUUCACAGACGAACCAUCUGGAGCCGCGCACUAAAAAAUACAUUUUACUUUUAUGGACCAGCGUGAAGCCGACUUUGUGUUUGGAAUUUUAUAUUGAUACCUUACGUGUCUGUUACGCAGACGCUGUACAGUUAGGAGCAGACUUUGACCCAGAGUCGACCUUUAACGGCUUUUAUCUGGUCAACGACAGCUCUGUGUAUGUAUGUAGCGCCCCCCUCCUGUAGGCAGGACUAAUGUAAAUACAAACACAUUCAUUAAACACAAAUCUGUGCAAUUUUCCCCCGGUGGUCUCCCUGGGAAACCCGCCCCCUACUUUGGGAACCACCGGUAAAGGGAAACCAAUUGCAUCGCAAAUUUGAUAUAAAUUUGUUAAACAACUAUUCAUUUGCAUACAUUUUAACAAACAUCAGCCACAAAAAUGACGACACCUACUGCACCAAAGAGGUAUGGCACGUGCGGUAAACUGAAGACAUUUGUCAGAAUAACUCAACUUUGUUAACGUGCUUGCCGGGGUUCAGCAUUCCUGAAGCUGUAGGAUGCUGAAGAAGAACAAAAUAUGGAGAACAAAACAUUCAAAAAGCAUAUCAAUGCUUGAUAUUUUGGGGGGGGGGUAGCUCCUGAUAAAGAUUUGAAGGUAAAAAUGAUUCAACAAUGGUUCUGUUGGUGUUGAAUCUUUAAAAAUAGGAUGAAAAAAAAAAUAGGAACUACAUAAUAUCUACAUGAAAACGUCACCAGACGCAAAAAUCAGUAUGUGUGUUUGGGUGGAACGUCAGUAAUGUUGGCGUUUGGUCGCGGCCCGUCCUGAGACAGAAACCUCCACCCUUCAUUUUUGGUCCCUGCUCAGUCUGUCCAACGUGAUCUUCCCGCCGUGUUCUUUGUGGCGUCUUCUGUUCUGCUUCCUGUCGCUGAGCUGAGGGCCAGCAGAGAGGAACAGGCUGCCAGUGACUUGGCCUGGACGCCUGGCUCCCCGCGCUUCCUAGUCAUUACUGCCGGCUAACGAGCAAAAAAAAAAGCCAGAGAUGUCUGCGGCUGCACUUUCCCCUGAGCUAACAAAGAGCAAGACCUCACGGGUGACUGUGGCAGCAGCAGCAGCGGUGGCAU